GUCCCCGUAGCGUAGUGGUCAGCGUUUGUGAUGCUUUUCUUCAGCGUGUAUAUUUAUCCAGCAAUUUGAUUCAAGUCUAGCGAAAGACGUCGGUUCAAAUCCGACCGAGGGCA